GGUAAUAUGGCUCAGUUGGUAGAGUGCUUGUCUCACAUGCACAAGGCCUUGGGUUCAAACCCCAGCACCA
rnacentral:tRNA from 1 species